AACAUUGGGACUGGAGUCAGCGUGGAACACGGACUCUCUGGCAGCUGAAGCACUUCAAACUGUGUUCCCACUUCAACUGUUUGGGUUUUGCUUCAAAUAUCUCAGCCUUUUCCCCUUCUUUUCCUGCAGACAAUGCCAUGACCCAGAUGGGAGUGCAGAGCAGGUCUGGACUGACAGGACAGUCAUCCACGACCACAUCAGCCUGACAUUCCCUGAUGAUGGCAACGGGAUGAACUCGGAGCAGCUGCACAAAAUACUAAGCUGUCUUCCCCCACACUUGUCAUGUGGGCACAGGGAUACCACACUUGCAAGGGCUUCUCCAAAGGUUUUUCUGCCAGGAGUGCUCCAGGCUUUCAGAAGGUAACUUUCCAGCCCAGAACAGAAACACAGACCCGAUGCCGUCGUUUCCUGAGCACUGUAAGGUGUCCUGCACC
rnacentral:lncRNA from 1 species